rnacentral:rRNA from 1 species
AUUGAACGCUGGCGGCAGGCUUAACACAUGCAAGUCGAGCGAGCGGCGGACGGGUGAGUAAUGUCUGGGAAACUGCCUGAUGGAGGGGGAUAACUACUGGAAACGGUAGCUAAUACCGCAUACUAUCGGAUGAACCCAUAUGGGAUUAGCUAGUAGGUGAGGUAAUGGCUCGCAUAGGCGACGAUCCUUAGCUUGUCUGAGAGGAUGAUCAGCCACACUGGGACUGAGACACGGCCCAGACUCCUACGAGAGGCAGCAGUGGGGAAUAUUGCACAAUGGGCGCAAGCCUGAUGCAGCCAUGCCGCGUGUAUGAAGAAGGCCCUAGGGUUGUAAAGUACUUUCAGUCGGGAGGCGUUACCGACAGAAGAAGCACCGGCUAACUCCGUGCCAGCAGCCGCGGUAAUUC